GCCAGCAGCCAUAUCACCCUGCACCCCACUGAAGCUAAGCAGGUAUGAGCCUGGUCAGUUCCUAGAUGGGAGACCUCGUGGGAAAGCCAAAAUUGCUGCUAGAA
rnacentral:rRNA from 1 species